UUGAAAGGGAAACGAUUGAAGUCAGUCGUGCUGGCGCGAAAUCAACCUUCUCGUCUUGAGACCACAUGGCGUGGCGAGCCUCAAAACCGUCACGAAGCGUGAACUCCUGGUGAAAUGGAGCACUUUCGUGUCCGCUGGUUAACAUCAAUUUCGAACGUCAUAAAAAGGCUGGAGGGAUGUGGCUCCUUCGGGAGUGUUAUAACCUUUAGCGGAAUGUGGUGUUCGGGAUUGAGGAUUGCAACGAAUACCUUUAGGGCUGUUCCACCUGGCUUCUCUUUGGUAUCCUGGUGACGACAGCUUGCUGACGCCGUUAGGAUCCGCCUUUGAACAGGCUAGAGUGUGAGCAAAUUCGUUAAGGAUGUUGACGUA
rnacentral:rRNA from 1 species